CCUACGGGAGGCUGCAGUGGGGAAUAUUGGACAAUGGGCGAAAGCCUGAUCCAGCCAUGCCGCGUGUGUGAAGAAGGCCUUCGGGUUGUAAAGCACUUUCAGUGGGGAAGAAAGCCUUGGGGCUAAUACCCUCGAGGAAGGACAUCACCCACAGAAGAAGCACCGGCUAACUCCGUGCCAGCAGCCGCGGUAAUACGGAGGGUGCGAGCGUUAAUCGGAAUUACUGGGCGUAAAGCGCGCGUAGGCGGUCUGAUAAGCCGGUUGUGAAAGCCCCGGGCUCAACCUGGGAACGGCAUCCGGAACUGUCAGGCUAGAGUGCAGGAGAGGAAGGUAGAAUCCCCGGUGUAGCGGUGAAAUGCGUAGAGAUCGGGAGGAAUACCAGUGGCGAAGGCGGCCUUCUGGACUGACACUGACGCUGAGGUGCGAAAGCGUGGGUAGCAAACAGGAUUAGAUACCCGAGUAGUC
rnacentral:rRNA from 1 species